AGAGUUUGAUCCUGGCUCAGGAUGAACGCUAGCGGCAGGCCUAACACAUGCAAGUCGAGGGGUAGAACACUUCGGUGUUUGAGACCGGCGCACGGGUGCGUAACGCGUAUGCAAUCUACCUUAUACAGGGGAAUAGCCCAGAGAAAUUUGGAUUAAUGCCCCAUAGUGUUAUAGAAUCGCAUGGUUUUAUAACUAAAGUUCCAACGGUAUAAGAUGAGCAUGCGUCCCAUUAGUUAGUUGGUAAGGUAACGGCUUACCAAGACAAUGAUGGGUAGGGGUCCUGAGAGGGAGAUCCCCCACACUGGUACUGAGACACGGACCAGACUCCUACGGGAGGCAGCAGUGAGGAAUAUUGGUCAAUGGGCGCAAGCCUGAACCAGCCAUGCCGCGUGCAGGAAGAAGCAUCUAUGGUGUGUAAACUGCUUUUAUACAGGAAGAAACACCUCCACGUGUGGAGGCUUGACGGUACUGUAGGAAUAAGGAUCGGCUAACUCCGUGCCAGCAGCCGCGGUAAUACGGAGGAUCCAAGCGUUAUCCGGAAUCAUUGGGUUUAAAGGGUCCGUAGGCGGUCUUAUAAGUCAGUGGUGAAAGCCCAUCGCUCAACGAUGGAACUGCCAUUGAUACUGUAAGACUUGAAUUUUUGUGAAGUAACUAGAAUAUGUAGUGUAGCGGUGAAAUGCUUAGAUAUUACAUGGAAUACCAAUUGCGAAGGCAGGUUACUAACAAACGAUUGACGCUGAUGGACGAAAGCGUGGGGAGCGGACAGGAUUAGAUACCCUGGUAGU
rnacentral:rRNA from 1 species